UACGUAGGGUGCAAGCGUUGUCCGGAAUUAUUGGGCGUAAAGAGCUCGUAGGCGGCUUGUCGCGUCGACUGUGAAAUCCCGGGGCUUAACUUCGGGCGUGCAGUCGAUACGGGCUGGCUUGAGUGCGGUAGGGGAGACUGGAACUCCUGGUGUAGCGGUGGAAUGCGCAGAUAUCAGGAAGAACACCAACGGCGAAGGCAGCUCGCUGGGACGGAACUGACGCUAAGGCGCGAAAGCGUGGGGAGCGAACAGG
rnacentral:rRNA from 1 species